UUGAAAGGGAAACGAUUGAAGUCAGUUGUUCNGNCGNAAACUANNUUNUCGAUNUUGGGGUUGUGGGUGCGUGGAGCUUCGGCCUUCAUCGCUUGUGAUACCUUUGCUUCUGGGGCGUACUUUUUCGUGUGGUAGGUCAACAUCGGUUUUGAUUGCCAUAAAAUGACCGGAGGAAUGUGGCUUCGAUCUUGUAUUGGAGUGUUAUAGCCUCUGGUAGAUGUGGUGGUUGGGAUCGAGGAUUGCAACGAAUACCCUUUGGGCUAUCCGCCUGACCUCUGAAAGUCGCUUGGGUACCGAAAGCUUGCUUAUGGUCAUUCAAGUUGGUGGUCAAAAGGUUAGAACGUGAUUAAAUUCGUUAAGGAUGUUGACGUA
rnacentral:rRNA from 1 species